AUUGCUCAUAUAAAUUCCUCAGUGUUGGUUAUUUCUCACUGCAGUUAGCAAGAGAAGUUCUUGAGCCAAGAUCUUUGCAGUGCGAGUGCACUGAGUAUUUCCCAUUAGGAACUUCUUGUCGGAGAGGAGCUUCACAAGUAAUGAUCUUCUGUAAACCUGCAAAAACAGCAAUUAGGCAGCUCCCUCUCACUGCAGCCCAAUCCCAAGCUGAAGGAGAAGCAUCUGGCACAAUGGAAAUUGUCACAACACAGGGCUGCAACUUCGACUGGUGAGAGAAGGCUCCCCUUGGAUGUGCAGAUCACAGAGAGGAGACUCUUUAA